CAGAAGGAAGGGCCAGCACGGGCCUGAGGCCAGCUCAGAAGAGCAGAGGAUUUCACAGUGAGAAAGGUCAAUACUCUACCCGCUGUGAUACCCAGCUGACAAAUGGAAGAAACUGAGGACCAGAUAAGUUGUGCAAUGUGUCCAAGGGGACCCAGGAAGUAGUUGGAAAAUGUCAACGCUUUUUAAAAAAAAAUAGCCAGAGAAGUUAAAAGCGCUUGUUUGCCUUCUUGUCCCCAAAGAACCCACCAAUACUAAGAAAUCCUGACACUUCAUUCCAUUUUCAGAGCCGAGGGCCGAGGGCCUGAGCCGCUCCUGCUUCCCUUUAUGGCCCUCAUGGUUGGCAGCCGUGUCAAGAGGUUUCAGGGUGGAAAAUGAGGGCCCCACUCAAUGGGUCACGUUGCCUGAUACUAUGGAGCCAGCUCUCUCCUGACUUGGGGAAGGAGGAUUCUGACAGCUAAGCCAAAGUGGCAUCGGGGACUUUUCCCCAGCCCCAACAUCCUGUGCCCCAAUCCCCACCCCAACUGCCACCCCAGACCAAGACUUCUCCUUGAUAACAGCUAACAUUUGCAGAAGCUUUAUAUGCAGAAAGGGGGCUGGAUCUGGGGGUCCAAAACCUUGGGCAAAUCUCUUUAACCUCC